GUUCGCAUACAGAAUUUGACAUCGAUGAGUGUGUUGAAGUGUCUGAGGGCACUACACUUAUCUCUCUAGAUGUCAAUUUCAUUCUGGAUGGUAUAGAUAGUGAGACAGCAACAAUGGAUUAUCAGGCUGCUGUUAAGGCUGAAGAAACCUUCUGUCUAGAAGAUGAAAUUUCAACUCCUCACGAGGAUUCUGUAACUCCUCAAGAUGAUGAUGCAGCUGCACUCACAGGCUAUCAAGAGCUCAAUGUUUGCUAUCUCCAUGAAGUGCUAGAUGAAACAUGUAAGGAUAAUGAAAAACAUUUGGAUGAAAACAUUGUCGUCAAGAUGGAAGAGACGGAAACAAAAACAGAUUGCUGUGAACAAGGAAGUGAAAAUAGUCAUGGCGAUGAUGCUCAACAGUUGGUAGUAGAGUCUGAUCUCAAAGAUGAGAGUGAUAAAAGCCAUCAAGCUGAAGAUGGAAGUGAAAACUCCUCUGGUGUCGAAGCAGAUAAAACAGGUGAGGCAUGUGUGGAAAAGCAGAACCAAAUCAAAGAUAAUAAGACACAUGCAAAAUAUGAUUCGAGUGAAGAAAUGUCUGAGAGGUACAAAAACCUGAGAGGCAUAGCCAGGCGCAACGACUCUAAGGAGCCAGAGGAGUCAAGAGACUUCAAUCCACGACUACCGAAUUUCCUGCCACUGGAGCCAGAUCCAGAUGCAGAGAAAGUUGAUCUCAAACAUCAGAUGAUAGAUGACAGGAAAAAUGCAGAGGACUGGAUGCUUGAUUUUGCACUCCGACGAGCAGUGGACAAACUUGCACCAGCUCGUAAGAGAAAGGUUGCAUUGCUCGUGGAGGCUUUUGAAACAGUCUUGCCAACAUCUAAAUGGGAACCUCACCUCAGGCGCAGCGCAUCAGGAUUCACACAUCCUAGACCAAUUCAAGCUUGCAACUGAUGCAAGUUCAAGGUGGACAUCAGCGCGGAGCUAGUAAGACAAUCUUUCGUCCAGGAACAACUGUCUUGUUGCUCACAAUUCACAACCCUCCAACAUGUGCAAGGAUUUCAGCUUAAAGGCAUUAAAGGAAUCGAUUGGGAUUAGAUGGUGGAAAACAUCAUCAUGGAAUCUCAAGUAAUUUAUAUUUGUGUGCUUCUCUUCUGAGGAUUAUGCCUACACAUACUCGAGUACUGUUGUGAAAGAUUUUAUGUACUUCAAUCUAUGGCUUUAUCUAUAGUUGGCUAAUAUUUCUUAUAUGUAUCCUGACAUGUUAUGGUACCAUUAUCUUCAACUAUCAUCUCUACUACUACUAUAUCUGAAGUAUGC
rnacentral:misc_RNA from 1 species